UACGUAGGGUGCAAGCGUUGUCCGGAAUCAUUGGGCGUAAAGCGCGCGUAGGCGGCCCGGUAAGUCCGUUGUGAAAGUCAAAGGCUCAACCUUUGAACGCCGAUGGAUACUGCCGGGCUAGAGUCCGGAAGAGGCGAGUGGAAUUCCUGGUGUAGCGGUGGAAUGCGCAGAUAUCAGGAGGAACACCAGUGGCGAAGGCGGCUUUCUGGACGGUAACUGACGCUGAGACGCGAAAGCGUGGGGAGCAAACAGG
rnacentral:rRNA from 1 species